UCUGCAUCGGCUCCUGCCUCCAGGAUCCUGGCCUGUUUGAGUUCCUGUCCUGACUUCUUUUGAUAAUGAACAGCAAUAUGGAAGUGUUGUUUCCAAUUUCUGGAUACUAUGAAUAGAGCAGCAAUGAACAUGGCUGACCAAGUGGUUCUGUGGUGUAGGAUACCAUUUCCUGUUGCAUGCAAGAUAUAGGACUCCCAGCUACUUCUCCAGCACCAUGUCUGUCUGCCUGCCGCCAUGUCUCACCAUAAUGAUAAUGGACUGAAUUUCUGAAACUGUAAGCCAUACCAGUUAAAUGUUUACCUUUAUAAAAGUUGCCAUGGACAUGGUGUCUCUUCUCAGCAAUAGAAACCCCAACUAAGACAAUGCCCAAGAGUGUAAUGCCUGGAUCUUGAGGUAGAUCAGUGCCCAUCUUCCUGAGGAGCUGUCACACGAAAUCCAUAGUGACUGUACAAGUUUGCAGUCCUAACAACAAUGGACGAGUGUUCACCCCUUCACCACAUCCUUGCCAGCAGGAGCUGUCAUUUGCCUUAUUCAUCUUGGUCAUUCUGAUGGGUGUUAAGAGGAAAGAGGACGGGCGUGGUUUUGAUUUGCAUUUCCCUGUUGAUUAAGGAUGUUGAACAUUUCUUGAAGUGUCUCUCAGCCAUCUGAGUUUUGUCUUUUGAGAAUUCUCUGUUUAAAUCCAUACCCCAUUUUUAAAUUGUAUUGUUUUUCUUGAUAUCC
rnacentral:lncRNA from 1 species